UACAGAGGUCCCAAGCGUUACUGAGAAUCACUGGGUUUAAAGGGUGCGUAGGUGGUCCGUUAAGUCAGUUGUGAAAUCCCCGGGCUCAACCCGGGAACUGCUUCUGAUACUGGCGGACUUGAGGCCAGUAGGGGUCACUAGAACUGACGGUGGAGCGGUGAAAUGCGUAGAUAUCGUCAGGAAUGCCGGUGGUGAAGACGGGUGACUGGGCUGGUUCUGACACUGAGGAACGAAAGCGUGGGGAGCGAACGGG
rnacentral:rRNA from 1 species